rnacentral:rRNA from 1 species
UACGUAGGGUGCGAGCGUUGUCCGGACUUACUGGGCGUAAAGAGCUCGUAGGUGGUUUGUCGCGUUGUCCGUGAAAACUCACAACUCAAUUGUGGGCGUGCGGGCGAUACGGGCAGACUGGAGUACUGCAGGGGAGACUGGAAUUCCUGGUGUAGCGGUGGAAUGCGCAGAUAUCAGGAGGAACACCGGUGGCGAAGGCGGGUCUCUGGGCAGUAACUGACGCUGAGGAGCGAAAGCGUGGGGAGCGAACAGG